UUCGUUGCUUCACGGAUAGCCAUUGCAAAGCGUCCAACAUAAAAACAGAGGAAGUUAAUCAACAACAACAGGAAGCAAGUCAGGCUAACAAAGUAUGUCAAUUAUCUCUGGCAGAUUUUGAGAGCUGAACACUGAACAGUCACAUCUAAAACGAUUUCUUGGAUUGUUAAUAUGAUGCAAAAAAUUACUAGGCAGUGUAGAGAGGAGCAACCUGAACCAGUCAACAUCGAACCAAGUAAUGACCUGUGGGCUGCCCACGGUACUCUUGCUAGAGACGCAUUAAGAUACAAAAACAUCAACCAUAUGGUUAGAUUACUCGGAGAGCUACGGCAGUAUUUGCAUGGCGAUUUGGCACCAAUAAAUUCUGAACACUGAACAGUCACAUCUAAAACGAUUUCUUGGAUUGUUAAUAUGAUGCAAAAAAUUACUAGGUAGUGUAGAGAGGAGCAACCUGAACCAGUCAACAUCGAACCAAGUAAUGACCUUUGGGCUGCCCACGGUACUCUCGCUAGAGAAGCAUUAAGAUACAAAAACAUCAACCAUAUGGUUAGAUUACUCGGAGAGCUACGGCAGUAUUUGCAUGGCGAUUUGGCACCAAUAAAUUCUGACCCAAUUAUAGUAUGGAACCGUAUUCAAGGACAGAUUCCAACGCUUUAUGAAAUACCGAUGAAAUACAUGUCAGUUCUAGGAACAUCUGUUCCUUCAGAAGUUUAUUCAGCAAAACCGGUCAAACGUUUACAAAGCUGCGAAAUCGGCUCCCAAGACCCCACCUAGAAAUGUUCCUAAUCUAACAGUCGAGAGGAGAGGAUGCAUGGUCUCACUGACGGCACCUACUCACGUCACAGGAUG